GGGCUCACCAAGACUCCGUGUGUUACCUCGGGCUACAACACGGGACCCGGGCGCUACUCCGACCCCUCGUGUCUUGUGUUGCAGCCGGAGGGACACAGGUCCGCA
rnacentral:pre_miRNA from 10 species